UAGUAUUAAAUGGCCGCGGUAUUUUGACCGUGCAAAGGUAGCAUAAUCGUUAGUUUUUUAAUUGGAAUCUUGUAUGAAUGGUUGGACAAAAGAAGAUCUGUCUUUGUAUUGCUUAUUGAAUUUUACUUUUAAGUGAAAAGGCUUAAAUGUAUUAAAGGGACGAUAAGACCCUAUAAAGCAUUUUAUUGGGGCGAUAAGAGUAAAAUGAUUAACUGCUUAACAUUAAGUACACUUAUAUGUGUAAUGAUCCUAAUUAAAGAUUAAAAGUUUAAGUUACUUUAGGGAUAACAGCGUUAUUUUUCUUAAGAGUACUUAUCGAAAGAAAAGUUUGCGACCUCGAUGUUGAAUUAAAAUAUCUUUAUAAUUGUAGCAGUUAUAUAAGUAGGUCUGUUCGACCUUUAAAAUUUU
rnacentral:rRNA from 1 species